GUGUGACUGCGUACCUUUUGUAUAAUGGGUCAGCGACUUAUAUUCUGUAGCAAGGUUAACCGUAUAGGGGAGCCGUAGGGAAACCGAGUCUUAAUUGGGCGUUAAGUUGCAGGGUAUAGACCCGAAACCCGGUGAUCUAGCCAUGGGCAGGUUGAAGGUUGGGUAACACUAACUGGAGGACCGAACCGACUAAUGUUGAAAAAUUAGCGGAUGACCUGUGGCUGGGGGUGAAAGGCCAAUCAAACCGGGAGAUAGCUGGUUCUCCCCGAAAGCUAUUUAGGUAGCGCCUCGUGAAUUCAUCUCCGGGGGUAGAGCACUGUUUCGGCUAGGGGGCCAUCCCGGCUUACCAACCCGAUGCAAACUGCGAAUACCGGAGAAUGUUAUCACGGGAGACACACGGCGGGUGCUAACGUCCGUCGUGAAGAGGGAAACAACCCAGACCGCCAGCUAAGGUCCCAAAGUCAUGGUUAAGUGGGAAACGAUGUGGGAAGGCCCAGACAGCCAGGAUGUUGGCUUAGAAGCAGCCAUCAUUUAAAGAAAGCGUAAUAGCUCACUGGUCGAGUCGGCCUGCGCGGAAGAUGUAACGGGGCUAAACCAUGCACCGAAGCUGCGGCAGCGAACGUAUCACCCAAGACAACUUUACGGAGUUGACGAUUGACGGAGCGAAGCGACGUCAAAGCGUUCAUUAAAGUCGAGUUGGCUUAGGGAUACGUUCGUUGGGUAGGGGAGCGUUCUGUAAGCCUGUGAAGGUGUGUCGUGAGGCAUGCUGGAGGUAUCAGAAGUGCGAAUGCUGACAUAAGUAACGAUAAAGCGGGUGAAAAGCCCGCUCGCCGGAAGACCAAGGGUUCCUGUCCAACGUUAAUCGGGGCAGGGUGAGUCGACCCCUAAGGCGAGGCCGAAAGGCGUAGUCGAUGGGAAACGGGUUAAUAUUCCCGUACUUGGUGUUACUGCGAAGGGGGGACGGAGAAGGCUAUGUUGGCCGGGCGACGGUUGUCCCGGUUUAAGCGUGUAGGUGUGUGUUCCAGGUAAAUCCGGUUCACUUUAACACUGAGGCGUGACGACGAGGCACUACGGUGCUGAAGCAACAAAUGCCCUGCUUCCAGGAAAAGCCUCUAAGCAUCAGGUAACACGAAAUCGUACCCCAAACCGACACAGGUGGUCAGGUAGAGAAUACCAAGGCGCUUGAGAGAACUCGGGUGAAGGAACUAGGCAAAAUGGUGCCGUAACUUCGGGAGAAGGCACGCUGACACGUAGGUGAAGUGAUUUACUCAUGGAGCUGAAGUCAGUCGAAGAUACCAGCUGGCUGCAACUGUUUAUUAAAAACACAGCACUGUGCAAACACGAAAGUGGACGUAUACGGUGUGACGCCUGCCCGGUGCCGGAAGGUUAAUUGAUGGGGUCAGCGCAAGCGAAGCUCCUGAUCGAAGCCCCGGUAAACGGCGGCCGUAACUAUAACGGUCCUAAGGUAGCGAAAUUCCUUGUCGGGUAAGUUCCGACCUGCACGAAUGGCGUAAUGAUGGCCAGGCUGUCUCCACCCGAGACUCAGUGAAAUUGAACUCGCUGUGAAGAUGCAGUGUACCCGCGGCAAGACGGAAAGACCCCGUGAACCUUUACUAUAGCUUGACACUGAACAUUGAGCCUUGAUGUGUAGGAUAGGUGGGAGGCUUUGAAGUGUGGACGCCAGUCUGCAUGGAGCCGACCUUGAAAUACCACCCUUUAAUGUUUGAUGUUCUAACGUGGACCCGUAAUCCGGGUUGCGGACAGUGUCUGGUGGGUAGUUUGACUGGGGCGGUCUCCUCCUAAAGAGUAACGGAGGAGCACGAAGGUUGGCUAAUCCUGGUCGGACAUCAGGAGGUUAGUGCAAUGGCAUAAGCCAGCUUGACUGCGAGCGUGACGGCGCGAGCAGGUGCGAAAGCAGGUCAUAGUGAUCCGGUGGUUCUGAAUGGAAGGGCCAUCGCUCAACGGAUAAAAGGUACUCCGGGGAUAACAGGCUGAUACCGCCCAAGAGUUCAUAUCGACGGCGGUGUUUGGCACCUCGAUGUCGGCUCAUCACAUCCUGGGGCUGAAGUAGGUCCCAAGGGUAUGGCUGUUCGCCAUUUAAAGUGGUACGCGAGCUGGGUUUAGAACGUCGUGAGACAGUUCGGUCCCUAUCUGCCGUGGGCGCUGGAGAACUGAGGGGGGCUGCUCCUAGUACGAGAGGACCGGAGUGGACGCAUCACUGGUGUUCGGGUUGUCAUGCCAAUGGCACUGCCCGGUAGCUAAAUGCGGAAGAGAUAAGUGCUGAAAGCAUCUAAGCACGAAACUUGCCCCGAGAUGAGUUCUCCCUGAGACUUAGAGUCUCCUGAAGGAACGUUGAAGACGACGACGUUGAUAGGCCGGGUGUGUAAGCGCAGCGAUGCGUUGAGCUAACCGGUACUAAUGAACCGUGAGGCUUAACCUU
rnacentral:rRNA from 1 species